rnacentral:rRNA from 1 species
GAUAGAGGGUGCAAACGUUGUUCGGAAUUACUGGGCGUAAAGCGCGUGUAGGCUGCUCGGAAAGUCGGAUGUGAAAGCCCUGGGCUCAACCUAGGAAGUGCAUUCGAAACUUCCGAGCUGGAGUUCUGGAGAGGAAGGCGGAAUUCUCGGUGUAGAGGUGAAAUUCGUAGAUAUCGAGAGGAACACCGGUGGCGAAGGCGGCCUUCUGGACAGUGACUGACGCUGAGACGCGAAAGCGUGGGGAGCAAACAGG